rnacentral:lncRNA from 1 species
UCGCGCGCACGCGGAUCGCCCACGUGGCCCGUUCCCUGGUCAUUGUUGCCUUGCCACGCGGCGCGUUCUGGUUGGCCGGGGCUGCUGACCGGGCCGCUGACGUGGCUGCUGACGUGGUGCUGACAUGGCACAACUUUUCUAAAUUGCGUUUUGACCUCCGGUUUCCUUUUUUCUUUUCAAAAAUACCCCCAGAAUCUAAAUUUUCACCC